rfam:Spizellomyces punctatus DAOM BR117 chromosome Tnknown supercont1.8, whole genome shotgun sequence.
GCACCUUUGUCCGAGCGGUCUAAGGAGCUGGUCUCAAGUUCCAGUCUCGAAAGAGGCGUGAGUUCGAAUCUCACAGGGUGCA